rnacentral:lncRNA from 1 species
AAUCAGAGAAUACAAAUUUUACAUAGACCUUUUAGUUUUCAAAAUGUCAGAUGUUGUAUAUGUAUGUUUUAACUGGAUUUUGGAGGAGCCAAUAAAAACAAAUACAUUUGUUUGUCGAGGGAAGAGGUUGUCUUGCUAAGCUUAAGGUGUACUCUCGCAAGAUGAAGAAAGAUAGUUGGGUGAGUUGGAUGUUUGCAAGGGCGAUGAGAAUAUGAUGAAAAUGGAGUAAAAACCACCAAACCUUGAGCUAAGAAAACCUAUAAAACAUAACAAACAAAGGUUAAAGGUGGAGUUGGUGGUGGCCUGCAACCAUACUACGAUGCUCAAGUAAAAUGAUCUUGCUAGUUUUUAGGGGGUAACAAAGGAUAGCUAAGAUGGUUUUCUCCCUUAGUUGACUUUUCUUGCCAUGUGUCACAAUAUUAUUAGCACAUGUCAACAUCUAAAUUCGGCCCUAAACAGUAUAUUGCAGAAAUCUUUUUUUAUACUAAAGUGGCUUCGUUGCAUGAGAAUUACAUAGGGGUUGAUUUAAAUGAUUAAAAGAAAACAAACAAAUCAAGAAUAUUAUAGGUAUGGGUUUAUGUGACUUUGGACAUUUUUAUUAAGUUUUUGGCUGAAUGGUAAUUUUCAGAAGCCUCUCGUAACAUUGGAGAAUUCUCUUUUUGAUAGAAUAUAUCUAUAUAUUCUGAAAGACCUCUUUUAAAGGUUUAGGACAUUAUAUGUUUUGUAUUUUUGAGAUUCUAUAAUUUUGGAAAAUAUAAGAUUCUAUUGAUGUUUACUAUGAUUUUCCUAAAGCUUGGGGGUGGUACAGGUCUACAGUAGCAUAUUGAUACACAAUCCGUUUGAACGUUAUAUUAAUCAACUAUGUUCUUUACAUGUUUACCUGCCAUUUUGGUUUGGGUCAAUGAAUUUAGGCUUAAAGGUUCACAUAAAUGCUUUAUUUCAUUGCUUAUCAGUUUGAAUUUCAUCAAUAUAAAGUGUCAAUAGUGAAGUUGCAUGACAAGGCUUGGUGAAGUAAUGGUUCCAUAAUGUUCAAAACAAAAAAGAGAGAAAUUUUGAGAUAGAUCCAACUACAAUGACACGACGAUUGGCAAUAUUUUAUUGUUUAUGUUAUAAAUAGAAUCUUAAUUAUGUUAUACAUAGCUUUUUUGCUUUAAAUUUCUCUAAAAUAUGGUUAGAUUGAGUACAAAUGAGCUACCACUGCUAUUGAAACUAAUCUAACAAGUAUAUUAUAGUAAUUUUUGUAGCAUGACAAUGUUUGACAAUACAAACAUGGUUGUUGGAAUCUACUUAUGUUUGUGUUUGCAUUAUCUUUGUGACUUAUUUAUUCACUAUAAGUUACAUACUAAUACAGUAAUCAAUGCAGGGUAAUUAACUCAAGCCUAGAGAGAUGAUAGAUAAUGAAUGCCCAUAGUAGCAAUAGUUUUGGCAUCAAGACUGUUCAUUAAAUAGCAGAAGCGAAUGUCAAACUAAUCUCAUACGACAUAUUUUGAAGUAAUUAUAUGAUCCAUCACUUUUCUUGUAUAAGUUUUAAAAUUGUAGAUCUAUUGUAUUGCCUUUCACUCUACAAUAUAGAUAGGUUUAAGUCCUUUUUUCAUUUUUUUUACUUCAAAACUCACUCAAUUGAUAAUGCCAAUCUUGCCUUUAUUAGUAUUAAUCUUAACAAACUAUUAUUAGUUUCUUAUAUGUAAAUAUGGACUACUAUUAAGUUGUAAGGGCUUAUUGGAUUACAACCAUUAAUGAUUGACUAUAUUAAUAUUGCAGCUAGAAUUCAUUUACAUGUAUCACAUGGUUGAGCCAUGUGUACAUUUAAAGGCUUUUAUUUGCCUAUGUGGAUUACAUCACUAUUGAAAUUCUUUUAGAUACAUCACAUGGCCGAGCUAUGUUGCUACAUUUGAAUGGUUGCAUUUGUGCUUAUGUUUUAUACUGAUGCUGAGAUUCUUUUAUAUAUAUCAAAUUCAGUUUUAGGAUUUAAGGAUUAGGAAACAGUUGUUGAUUAAUCUAUCUUAUAGUUAUUGUGUUACUCAUCUUAUAGUUAUUGUGUUACUCAUCUUAACUGUUUGUGUCUUGAUUCUAAUUUGCCAAGGUGAUUUUGUUGCUGAGUAUAGUAUUGUAAAGGAAAUCGGUGUUUGUGUUAGCUCAUUCUGGUGCUCUUUGCUUACCUUUGUGUUAGAUUGCAAGUCUUAUUAGACCAUAGGAUCUACAAAUUUUCAUUUAGGCUUAUGGAUGCAUAUUGCUUAGAAAGCACUAUUACAUUUAAUGUAUGAAGCAAAAGAUUCAGGGACAUACUACAUAAGGCCCAUAAAAAUGUGUUUGAUUAGCUUGAUGUGUUUGAACUUUGGGUAUCCAUUAUCAUGCAUAAGUAUUCCAACUUUUGAGCAAUGAAUGGAAAGUGGUGAGAUUUGAAUGAUUGUCAAAAGAGUUUGUAAAUGCAUGGUUGAUAUGGAUGUAUAAAAAGAUAUUAGCAGUAAUGUUUGCAAAUUACACUAAAAGAAGAUGAAAGCUAUAGUUGUAACUUGAUUAUGAGAAGCAAAAACUUUGUUGUUUGUUGAGAUUGGCAAUGGCUACUUACAUAGCUAGCCCACGUAAAGUCAUUUUAGGAAUUGAUAAGGGAGAUUUGGUAAUUUUAUAGUGUUUAUAGCUUUAACGCUGUUAACCAACUGUGCACUGAUCUGAAUAUAAAAAAUAUAUUUUUUGGUUAUUUUGUUAGUCAAUAAACAGUCUCAGGAUGAGAAUACUAACGUGAGGAAAGUCUCCAAGAAUGUGUGGAUACAUUUUAUCAAAGUGAGAAGACUUAGGUCAGGUUACCCUAUAAAAUCCCAACCCUUAUUAUAGCCUCAUUUGGAUUUACCAUUUACCAUUACCAACUUCUAGAGCUAAUAUUAUAGCCUUAUUAUUUUAACAAAAAAUAAUUAUGUCUUUUUUUUCAUAAAUUUUAGUAUAUAAAUCAUAAUCCUAAAGGCUUAAAAUAUUAUACAUAUUACCUCAAGUACUAUUCAUGAUUACUUAUAUUGAAGUUUUGAUCAAGUAAGUUCAUCCCUUUAUAAAUUUGCAUGCUUUAAAAUAAAAGAAGACAUGCGCCUUGACAAUUUAAAGACAACUUAUACUUAAGUCUAUUUUAAUCAAUAUACAAUGAAGCAACAUUUCAAUAAUAAAACUUACUAAUCGCAACGACAUAAUUUACCGAAUAUUUAGUUGUUUUUUGUUCAACAACUUAUUUCAUUGGUUACAGUAAUCUAAAAUUGGCCCUUAGUUUUAAAAAAAAAAAACCCCCCUCAAAGCUAGGUAUCAAAUUAAAAACAAGAGAUUUUUUCAAGUGAGGAUGGCAACAGGUCGAGUAUUAUAUGAGUAUGUCAAUAUCUAUACCCGUACCUGUUUGGUAGAGGAGACUCCCAUAACUGAAGCUUAAACGUGUAUGGGUUGAGAAUUCCCCAAUACAAGUUAGAGCAUCUCCAAAAUGCUUUAUUAAUUUUGUUCUUCAAAAAUCUAUUUGCUUACUUAGGUGGCAAAAAGAAGAGUGAAAAAAUAUGAUAUUCUCUAAAACACUCUUCAAAUAGAAAUAAGUUAAUAUUAUU